UCUGAUACGUCCUCUAUCCGAGG
rnacentral:piRNA from 2 species